rnacentral:Y_RNA from 1 species
GGUUGGUCUGAAUGUAGUGAGUUAUCUCAAUUGAUUUUCACAGUUCAUUACAGAUUGAACUCGUUGUUCUACUCUCUCCUUCUUUCUCACUACUGUACUUGGCUAGUCUUAA